GCUUGUCUCAAAGAUUAAGCCAUGCAUGUCUAAGUAUAAACAAAUCUAUACUGUGAAACUGCGAAUGGCUCAUUAUAUCAGUUAUAGUUUAUUUGAUGAUCUCUUACUACUUGGAUAACCGUAGUAAUUCUAGAGCUAAUACAUGCACAAAAUCCCGACUUACGAAGGGAUGUAUUUAUUAGAUGGAAACCAAUGCGGGGCAACCCGGUAUAUGGUGAUUCAUAAUAACUUUCGGAUCGAUCUUCGGAUCGAUGCAUCAUUCAAGUUUCUGCCCUAUCAGCUUUGGAUGGUAGGGUAUUGGCCUACCAUGGCUUUAACGGGUAACGGAGAAUUAGGGUUCGAUUCCGGAGAGGGAGCCUGAGAAAUGGCUACCACAUCCAAGGAAGGCAGCAGG
rnacentral:rRNA from 1 species